ACCCGGGUUGCGGACAGUGUCUGGUGGGUAGUUUGACUGGGGCGGUCUCCUCCUAAAGAGUAACGGAGGAGCACGAAGGUUAGCUAAUCCUGGUCGGACAUCAGGAGGUUAGUGCAAAGGCAUAAGCUAGCUUGACUGCGAGAGUGACGGCUCGAGCAGGUGCGAAAGCAGGUCUUAGUGAUCCGGUGGUUCUGAAUGGAAGGGCCAUCGCUCAACGGAUAAAAGGUACUCCGGGGAUAACAGGCUGAUACCGCCCAAGAGUUCAUAUCGACGGCGGUGUUUGGCACCUCGAUGUCGGCUCAUCACAUCCUGGGGCUGAAGUAGGUCCCAAGGGUAUGGCUGUUCGCCAUUUAAAGUGGUACGCGAGCUGGGUUUAGAACGUCGUGAGACAGUUCGGUCCCUAUCUGCCGUGGGCGCUGGAGAAUUGAGGGGGGCUGCUCCUAGUACGAGAGGACCGGAGUGGACGCAUCACUGGUGUUCGGGUUGUCAUGCCAAUGGCAUUGCCCGGUAGCUAAAUGCGGAAGAGAUAAGUGCUGAAAGCAUCUAAGCACGAAACUUGCCCCGAGAUGAGUUCUCCCUGAGACUA
rnacentral:rRNA from 1 species